rnacentral:lncRNA from 1 species
UCUAUCUGUCUUCCCUGCAUCCUCCAAAUCCUGCUCCAUCUCUAAAGCCAAGUCCCAUGUUUUCCUAAGAGUCUGACUUUAGCCUCUGGAUGAAUUCACCUUAUCUCUAUCUGAAACCACUCCUGUUUUCCCUUGAUGAUGAGUAUCUUCUUCUCCGAUGGCCUCCUGUUACUCCAAGUCACGUUCUUUGCUCCUUGGUUUUUAUCUAGCAGUAAAAGCAAUUGCUACUUGUUGUAACUUAUUUGAUAAUAAUAUACAAAAAAAAAAAAAAAAAAAGAAGUGUGCAGACUGAAAAGGGGACCAGAUGCCCAAAGCUUGAUUCCUGAUCUGAGAACUCCGUGCUUGGAGAAAAGACCUGAGUCCUGAGUUUCCCCAGGAUGCUGUCUCUGGUGGAGACUUACUAAGAGCCUCUGCCGCAUCUAGUCAAACACCCUUCCCUGCACAGUCACCCUGGAGAGCACUGACUCUAAACAUCCUCGGUGAGGAGAGGUGCAUCUCAGAGUAGGCCUGGGCCGGGGCGGGAGGGGGUGGGGGGUAGAGGGGACACUCUAACCACAAAUGGCAGCAAACUAGAAUUCGUUAGUUCCGGGGGUUGCUGUAGGAGUCCAUGUGAGUUUAUGACAAUGUCUGCAGCCAUUUAUGGUUCACAAGGGCCAGGUUUUCUUCUACAUCUAUUCACCCCGUGGUAGAUGCCAGCAAGCGGUCUGAGCGGGGUGGCUGCUGGCUGCCAAACCAAACAAAUGUGCCUUUUUUCUCCCAAUUAAUCUGCUGCCUUUUGAUUUUGAAAACUUCUCUACCUUUCACUGUGUUCUCUUGGAUACUAUAGAGACCCUGGGCUGCCUUGUGUUAUAGAAAGAGCUGAGUAGUGCUGGGGUUGACCUCUUGGCAUGGUGGUUUCUCAGCCAUCACAUGAAUGCUCUGAUGUGUUACAUAGCCUCUUCUGUCCACAGCUUGCCCUACACCCACUGAUUGGCAUGAAUCCAAUCCCUGAAGCCCCAAGCACUGCAAGUGGUAGAGACAGCAGAGGGCUCAGUUCCAAUGUCCUUUCAAGCUCUUCCACCUAGAAUGGAAUUCCAGUCACGUCAGGAGUGCCUGACCUGAUGCAAUCCCCUCCCAAGCUCACCAGAACCAGAGGGGAACUAGACACUUGGCAGGAAAAAGACUUUUAGGACAUUUAGUACAACGUCCAGCUGGUAUUUGAAGCCCCUGCCAAGUGGUUGUCCAUCUAUUUGAACUUCUGUGACAGGGAACUUCCUGACCCCAGGACAGUUCAGUCAUCUUCAGACAGCACUUUUGUUCUGGAGCCACCGAUGGCCCCAAGAGUCUACUGAGAAGGACCUGGCAUGUGCCCAGGGAGAAGUCCCCCACCCCAGCUCUGGGGUAACAGCAGGUCCCCAACACCCUUCCCCUUCCUGAUAGUCCUGGGAAGCUGUGCUGAGGACUGUAUGAGGCCUGGGGACCCCAGCUGGUUAACAGACUGCUACCCAAGUGCACCACCCAGUAGGGAAUUUAUCAGCCUUCCCACCCUGAGAACCGCAGAGCAGCCCAGCUGCUCCCAAGUUACACCCCAUCGACAGGCCCUAAAUGUUUUGGAGCUCCUCUCAGCCCAGCCAGCUCCCUUUUCCAUGGUCCAUUUAUCAACUACUCUCAGAGGGGAACCACAUUUUCCUUCAUAAUCCAAACAGCUGGGCACCUGGGGUGUCAGCAGAUCAUAAGCAGCCUGGGGUCCCUGCCUUACUUCAAGCCCUCAUCACCUCCUUUCUCGACCAUUACAGACACCCUGGACUCACCUCUCUGCCUCUAGGCACCUCACCUCCCCUCUCCACCCAGCUGUCCAAACAGGCUUCUAACAUGCCAAUCUGACCGUGUUAUUCUGAUCAGCAUCAUUCAGUGCCUCCCUCCCCUGUGAAAUCAAGCCCUAUCUUACUGCCAAGACUCCAGGUUGCUCCAGUUUCUCCAUGUUAAGCUACCCCUGGCUGCUUCCCUCCACCGCCAACAUCUCAAGAAGGGGCCCAUAGUCCCCACAUUACCCAAGGCUGUGAUUCUUCCUUCUCUUCCCUCACCCCUCACCCGUAUCUAUUAUGAGAGCAAGUCCCAUCCAUGCUACCCACAAAAUGUCUAUUUAACCACUUACCCUCUUUCCCUCACCACCCUGAUCCAAGAGAUCAUCAUCUAUCACCCAAAUCACAGCAAUAGCCUCCUAACUGGCCUUCCUACUUCCACUUUUGCUCCCUUCUAAUUCAUUUUGUAUAUCACAGCCAAAAUAAACUUUCAAAGUUGCAUCCUUUCACUAUAAAAGUUGCAUCCUUUCACUAUAAAACAUUUGAAUGGCUUCAUUAGUCUUAGAAUAAAAUCAGAGUUCCCGUCGUGGCGCAGUGGUUUACGAAUCCGACUAGGAACCAUGAGGUUGCGGGUUCGGUCCCUGCCCUUGCUCAGUGGGUUAAGGAUCCGGCGUUGCCGUGAGCUGUGGUAUAGGUUGCAGACGCGGCUCAGAUCGUGCCUUGCUGUGGCUCUGGCGUAGGCCAGUGGCUACAGCUCCGAUUCGACCCCUAGCCUGGGAACCUCCAUAUGCCACGGGAGCGGCCCAAAGAAAUAGCAAAAAGACAAAAAAUAAAAUAAAAUAAAAUUUAAAAAAAGAAUAAAAUCUUGACAAAAGCCCUCUAUGACCUGGCUUCACCCACACAUCUGACCACCUCUCAUACCAUUGUCCACACAGUCACUGACCAUCUGUCCCUACCAACCACAGGCCCUUUGCACUUCCUGCACCCCUAGCAUGGAACACUCUUUCCUUGGCUCUGCUCUGUUCUACUGCUCAUUCUUUAGGUCUCAGCAAAAACAUCACUGCCUCAGGAAUGCUUGCUGUGACCUGUUUUUCUCUAUCACACCACCUUGUUUAGUUCCUUUAGGACUACUCACUGUCUGUAACUAAUUAGUAUACCUGGUUCCUUGUUUACUGUCUAACUCCCUCACUACAAAGAAAGUUCCUUGAGGGCAAGGACCUCUCUCUUUCAUUAUAUCCACUGAAUCAACAACACCAAACACAGUUUAUAGCAGUUGGUAAGUUCCCCAUAAGUUUUGUCGAUUGAAUGCUAAAUGAACCAAGCCCCUGCUGCUCCUCCAGUCUUUCUUCUCUGCUACUCCUCACCCUGCACCCACAUUCUAGCCAUGCUGACUGAAAUUCUCUGAAGAUGCAUGCUGUUUUCCUUCUUUGUUCCUUUGCACAUGCCCCUGAGCUGGGAUUCUUAAACCACUAUGUCUAUCUAAAAAACUCCUCUGAUUGAAAAGUAAUCUCUUCUCCAAAGACUUUCCAGCCUCACCAAGAAGUUAGUCCCCCAGACCUCCAUGUGGCAUAGUAUCAUGCCCAGGCUUCCAUUCUUGGCUCUCAGCAACUUCCUUGUAAUGAUUCAUUUUCAUAUCUGUGUCCUCUGUAAACUCAUAUCCUUGAGGAAAUAGAGUAUGUCUUCUCCAUCUCGCCAACUUUCAUCCAUGGUCAAGUACGGAACCUGUAACAGAUUAAUUGAUCAACGAACAUUUGCUAAAAGGAUGUGGAUGAGCAGCCCCUGCGUGUAAAUUCAGUAGGCCAGAUUACUAAUCCCAGCCCCAUGGUAAUCCAGGUAACUCGUAAUUUCUUAAUCUGUAAAUUGGGAAUAAUAAAUCAUUACCUGUUUAUCUUAUAAGGUUAGUUUUAAGAAUAAAAUAGUAAAUGCAAAAACAGUUUGAAAGUAUAAAUAUAUUCAUUUCAAACAUUUUUUUCUUUCCUCAGUGCUAAGGCAUUCUUUCAUAUUUCAUUCACAAAUAUGAAAACAUGAUCCCAUGGAGGAUUCUACUUCUUCAAGAUGGCAUUAGGCAUCCACCAUAAAGACAUAUCUACCUCUUACUGACUUGAGUCUUGGUCUGCAGCAGCUUUGCAUCUUGGUCUUAACCCUUUGGUUCUGGAUGCACUGCAUUCCUGUAUAGUCCAGUUUUACUGAAGAUCUCUGCAUGCUUUCAAGCUGUAAUCACGGCUGAAUGAUUCCCUUACGCUGGUUCCACUUCAGGAAAACUGUCAGCAGUACACACGGCACCAGGCCCAUCCAUCUGUGUAAGAGAUAAUGUAAUUCUAAGACAAUAUUUAACAUUGUGGGACGAGGCAUAAACUCAAUAUGUUUUCAGGCAGAAUAGAAAAAAAAUAUGUGCCUCAUCUCAUUAAUCACAAUAAGAAUGAAGGAUGGGGCAGAUACCCAGGCUGGUGCUGUUCCCUUCAAGUUAAUCUGUCUUAAUACUAGGCCCUUGAUAAAAAGAAUGCCCAUGCCGUUGUUCUGCUUGUUCAAUGGCAAUUUACAUUGGGGGAGUGCUAGAUUUAUGGAGUAGCAAGAACAUCUCGGUAAUAAAAACUUGAGUGAUCCAUACUGUAUUUGGAGGUAACUUCUGCUGCAAACACUCUCUGGGGAUGAAACUUCAAGAGAAGGAUGUCAGGGUAGAUAUUUAUGGAACUGAUCUAUUCACAAGUGCUCAUUGGGUUCAUUCACUCACUCAUUCAACAAAUUUUUACUGGGCACCAACUCUUGCCAGAGGCUCUGUUAGGAGUUUGGAGCUGCCAAAGAAACCAAGUAUGGUCUGUACCCUCAAGGGACUCCCACUGGGGAAGAGUCACCUCAUGCCCAAUACUGAGGGUGCCACGUGGACUGCAAGCUCCAGUGUAUAUCAGUGCCUAUUUGCAGAGCAUGGUCCAGAAAAAUUUAUUAAAAAUCUGUUAAGUCACAAGUGUCCGUCGACAGAUGAAUGGAUAAAAUGUGGUAUGUACAUGCAAUGGAAUAUUAUUCAGCCUUAAAAAGGAAGGAAAUUCUGACACAUGCUACAACCUAGGCAAACCUCGAAGAGAGUGUGCUAAGUCAAAUAAGCCAAUCACAAAAGUACAAAUACUGUAUGAGUCCACUUAUAUGAAAAACCUAGGGAGGUCAAGGUCAGAGAGACAGAAAGUAGAAUGGCGGUUGCCAGAGGCUGGAGGUAGGAGGAAAUAAGGAGUUAUUGUUUAACAGGCAUAGAGUUUCAGUUUUGCCAGAUGAGAAAUGUUCUGGAGACAGAUGGCAAUGAUGGUUGUACACCAGAGUGAAUGUAUGUAAUGCCAGUGAACUGUACACUGAAAAAUGGUUAAGAUACUGCAUUUUAUGUUAGGUAUAUUUCACCCCCCC